GAGCGCACCUCCAGGAAACUACUGACUUCAAUACGAACCCAAGAGUUUUCAGGCCAAUUCACAGUCUGCACGUCACAAGCGAUAAGAUUUAAUCGGCUGGAUUACAACGCCGCCGAUCCUGAAGGAAUGGAAACCCUGGAUGAAGACCUACAACAAAGUUACUGUACGCCCAACACAUAAUGUGAAUCAAACAUGGGAGCAAACUAGAUGAAGGGAGUGCGUGUGGACUGAGGAGGAAGGAGUCUCCGACGGAAAACUUUGAGCUCAAGAAAGACAGUAGCCAGAAGGUGUCGUUUUAUUGGUUUGUUUUGCUCAGCCUUGCAUGACAUUUCUUCUCAAAUGGACCUGGUAGUGGGUUUAAAGCACAAUGAAGGCGGCAGGAGUCAUCUGCAUCUGAAUGGCGCUUUAAGUGAGUAUGUUUCUUUCUGGCUGAGUCACAGAAGAAGGUUUACUGCUGCGAGUGAAUCGAGGCAGAAACGCAGGAUGCUUUCGUGCUGUGUGUGUGCAGGCGGAGCAGGAAGACGUCCAGCUGGUGUCUGUUCUGUUCACCUGUGGAGCGCUCGCUCGCUGGGACACGGCCGUCUACACGCUGAACACUGAAGCAAGGCUCUGGACACUGAGCCGCAAAUGUUGCAUGCUAAUAACGACUUCCUGUGUGACCCAACAGAGCAUCAACAGGGUACUGAAGCUUCAGAAAGCAGCAUUCACCUCAAGAUGAUUGUUGUCUUACUGGAGACAUUUGAAAGCAUGAUGAAAUGUACUUAUUGGCUAGAGAGAAACAUUAAAAUCAAACUGAAAUCAAAA